UGCACAAGCAUAAUUGCCGAGUAACUGCUUCCCUCCUCUAUUUACAAAGGUUUAGCCAUUUCACUCUCCAUUCAAACACUGUAUCAUUACGCUCGAGAGAUAGUUCGAUUUUUAAGUUACGGAAAGUUCAAUUAUGCUCAACAUUCUGCUGAUUAUUCUCGAAACAAAAUUUGUUGAAUUUGAAUAUAAUUUUAAAAACGGUGUAUAUUUAAAGUUCUAACUCAUCGAAAGUAUAACUGGCGGUCGAAUACUGAGUAAAAUUAUAUGUUUGUUUACUGAUACAAAAGUAGAAGUGGAGCCGUUCUCCAUCACCGGCAUUCAAAUUUUUCUGCACGUGAAGAAUUUCCUGCAUAAAAGCACUAAUGGAUUUUGCAUUGACAAGCUGCUGUUGCUAAAGGUCUUACAAGGGAAGGACGAGAUGGGAAAUUGAGUUGAAGGGUGUUUUUCACCAAUCGACAAGCUAGAGGACCUGAAAUGUUUGAACCUCAGGCAGAGGAUGACAUUGACAAUUAAGUUACUGCUCCUGACAAAGUAGAUUCGACGAUGAUCGCAUACUUUUAAGGCACACUGGGGUUGUCCCAUGUUUUUUCCAGUAACUACCUUCAUAUUUCGUUAUUUUUCAAAAAUUCUUAUGCAUAAUGCAUAUUUUGAAUAAAUCACACUGUAAAAUAUGCACAAUGGACAUAGUUUUUUUUAAAAAAAAAUUCAUGUAAAUGCAAUGUAAUUUU